CAGAAGUUGAUAUCGUAAUAGUCAGCACUAUGAGGCACCACUUUAUCCCUGCCUUAGAUUCUGUGUGAUACUCCAAGUGUGCAUUUGGUGGCAAUACAAACUAAUUAUUUCUUUUUACGUAGAAACAAAGGUGCACAUUGUAAUGUCUUAUUCCAUUUUCCCCAAAUGUGCCUUGGUACUUCAUUGUGUUGUCUGAAGGCCAAACAAUUAAGCCUAAAUGGAAUUAUGAAAACAAGCCCAAGGAAAAAGAAAACUGCUUUUGUAAGAAACUCCCACAUGAAUUCUUCAGAACAGUCUUACUGAUACUGCUUUCAACAGCAGCCAACAACCACCAGGAUGGAGGCCUAGGAGUCUGAAAAGCUUGCAAUGCAAGUCUAUCAAGAAAAAUAGGUCCUUUCUUUAAUAAGUAACUUCCUGUGCAAGAUGAAAUGCGCAUAGAAAAAGCAGGGAGGGAAGAGUUCACUCGAGACUCCCAAUUCCUCUCCUGACAAGGUGCUGAGCAUGCCUGGGAGCAGAGCAAGUCCGCUGCUAGCACAGGCUUUGCUCUCCGACUGUCGGUGCCAAGCACCAGCCUGAGGCUAAGGCACAUGGGGACCAUGCAGGGACACGGGAGGCUCGGAGUGUUUGGGGGGCCAGGACAGCCCACUGAUAGCUAUGGGACAGAGACUGCAUUUUGAUACAAGUUGAGCUUCUCAUGUCAUCUCAGAAGUCUUAAGGUGCAGCACCUGGGCAGACCUGCAAAGCAGACACAAACAGGACAUGAUUGUGCAGACAGUGCCAAGGACAACGGCAGUCCCAGAGCCAGGCAGGAGGAGACAGCACACUGUUUUAAGGGGAUAGAGACGAGAGCCUACAAGCAUUUGCUUGUUGCCUUUGGGGGACUUGUGAGGAUGAGACAAUUGCUCUCAGCAAAAGGAAUGGCAUUCGUGCAGCUGAUCCCCCUUCGCUCCUUCUGCAUUACUCACAGAGGGCCCUCACGGCCAGUGCAUC